rnacentral:rRNA from 1 species
AUUGAACGCUGGCGGCAGGCCUAACACAUGCAAGUCGAGCGGUUGACGGGAGCUUGCUCCCCGAUUCAGCGGCGGACGGGUGAGUAAUGCCUAGGAAUCUGCCUAUUAGUGGGGGACAACGUUUCGAAGGGAACGCUAAUACCGCAUACGUCCUACGGGAGAAAGCAGGGGACCUUCGGGCCUUGCGCUAAUAGAUGAGCCUAGGUCGGAUUAGCUUGUUGGUGAGGUAAUGGCUCACCAAGGCGACGAUCCGUAACUGGUCUGAGAGGAUGAUCAGUCACACUAGAACUGAGACACGGUCCAGACUCCUACGGGAGGCAGCAGUGGGGAAUAUUGGACAAUGGGCGAAAGCCUGAUCCAGCCAUGCCGCGUGUGUGAAGAAGGUCUUCGGAUUGUAAAGCACUUUAAGUUGGGAGGAAGGGUUGUAGAUUAAUACUCUGCAAUUUUGACGUUACCGACAGAAUAAGCACCGGCUAACUCUGUGCCAGCCGCCGCAGUAA